rnacentral:rRNA from 1 species
CACGUAGGGCGCGAGCGUUGUCCGGAAUUAUUGGGCGUAAAGAGCUCGUAGGCGGCUUGUCGCGUCAACUGUGAAAACCCGUGGCUCAACCAUGUGGUCUGCAGUCGAUACGGGCAGGCUAGAAUUCGGUAGGGGAGACUGGAAUUCCUGGUGUAGCGGUGAAAUGCGCAGAUAUCAGGAGGAACACCGGUGGCGAAGGCGGGUCUCUGGGCCGAUAUUGACGCUGAGGAGCGAAAGCGUGGGGAGCGAACAGG